AUGGGUCCAACAUCCAAUGAGUUACGAUGGAAAAUACUCGUCAGAAUAGGGCAUAAAACACAGCAAACUCUUCCAAUAUUUAAUCAGUAAUCACCAAAAUAGAACAACCCAACAAGCAGAAAUGAAAAAUCAGUAACAAUCAGACCUGGACAGUAUGAAAAAAAAUGGAAAAUAUACAAAAAAAAAAAAAAAAAACAAAUGGUCAUACCUGGAAAUCUCCCUUCUUAGCUCCGUGUCCUGGACUUUUCCCAGCAACUCUACGCUCCUUUGUUCUUAGCUU
rnacentral:lncRNA from 1 species